AUAAGCCAACACCACAAAUAUAUUUCCUUGUAUUGUCAUGCCUGCUCUGUUUUGGCCAGUUGGAUUAGGACGUAAAAGGGGCUCAAAAGACAAAACAUCAGGGAAGAAAUGGAGCAACCCCAUUGUGUUCUGUUGUACAACAGGGACAUCCUGCUCUUGAGAUUAAUAUUAUGUAAGAAUCAAAGGGGAGGCUCUCUCAGAAACCCCCUGUAGUCCAG